AUUGAACGCUGGCGGCAUGCCUUACACAUGCAAGUCGAACGGUAACAGGUCUUCGGAUGCUGACGAGUGGCGAACGGGUGAGUAAUGCAUCGGAACGUGCCCAGUAGUGGGGGAUAGCCCGGCGAAAGCCGGAUUAAUACCGCAUACGACCUGAGGGGGAAAGGGGGGAGCGCAAGACCUCUCGCCAUUGGAGCGGCCGAUGUCAGAUUAGCUAGUUGGGGGGGUAAAGGCCUACCAAGGCAACGAUCUGUAGUUGGUCUGAGAGGACGACCAGCCACACUGGGACUGAGACACGGCCCAGACUCCUACGGGAGGCAGCAGUGGGGAAUUUUGGACAAUGGGCGCAAGCCUGAUCCAGCAAUGCCGCGUGCAGGAAGAAGGCCUUCGGGUUGUAAACUGCUUUUGUCAGGGAAGAAAUCUUCUGGGUUAAUACCUCGGGAGGAUGACGGUACCUGAAGAAUAAGCACCGGCUAACUACGUGCCAGCCGCCGCAGUAAUAC
rnacentral:rRNA from 1 species